GGACGAACGCUGGCGGCGUGCUUAAUACAUGCAAGUCGAGCGAGGCCUUGGAGUUGGAGUCCUUCGGGAUGAAGAGCCCUUGGCCUAGCGGCGGACGGGUGAGUAACGCGUGGGCAACCUACCCCAAAGUCCGGGAUAACAGUGGGAAACUACUGCUAAUACCGCAUAAGAUCUUCGGAUGAAAGGUGCAACUGCACCGGUAAGAGAUGAGCCCGCGUCCCAUUAGCUAGUUGGUGAGGUAAAGGCUCACCAAGGCGACGAUGGGUAGCCGGCCUGAGAGGGUGAACGGCCACACUGGGACUGAGACACGGCCCAGACUCCUACGGGAGGCAGCAGUAGGGAAUCUUCCGCAAUGGGCGCAAGCCUGACGGAGCGACGCCGCGUGAGUGAUGAAGGCCUUCGGGUCGUAAAGCUCUGUUCUUGAGGACGAAUAAGCCAGGGAGUGGAAAGCCCUGGUGAUGACUGUACUCAAGGAGAAAGCUCCGGCUAACUACGUG
rnacentral:rRNA from 1 species